rnacentral:tRNA from 1 species
GGGCCUGUAGUAUAGUGGUAGAACGCCGCAUUCGCAUUGCGGGAACGGGAGUUCGAUUCUCCCCAGGUCCA